AGACCAGGUCAGCUGUGAUAGAAACAAGUUAGACGUGUUGCAUUUUGUGCAUCAUCAGGCAUGUUCACAACACUGUGAAGUUGUCUGCAGGAGUUAACUCAGACACUGUCACUGAUGAUUUAUGUAGACUUUGAAUUGAUAGUCGAAUCAUAAGUAGACGGCUCUGCCUGGAGUUUAUCUUUGGACAUAUUACAGGGAGGAAACUGUGAUAUUUUAAACUUCUUUGUUAAGUUUGAAGUGUAGUUUUUCCUUUAAGCUGUCGUACGUGGGAUCCCCCGGUGACGGUGAGAGUAGAAUAAUAGCGUCGCAUCAUCAGUAGGAAACACUUGCUUUGCAGCGACUCUCAGUGCUGGAAUAUCAGGGGGCUGUUUGAUAAGCUGUCCACCAAUCACAUCAUCAGUGUCCCUCUUGAUAUUGGACAACGGUGCCGUCCCUCUCAUCCUCAGCGCACAUCCACCUGGAGACACAGUUACCUUUCUGAAGCAGACAUCUUGUCUCAUUGCUCUCAUUCACACUCAGCCCAAGAGGCUCCAUCUUCCUGGAGAUGGCACAGCGGCCUCACAGAGACCAUGGCAACUUUCCCCAAAGGCGGGCCACCCUGUUACCACGGGUGACAAAGCGUAGAGCACAGCUGACUCUGGAGGCCGUGUCAUCGAAGGAUGGUUCAAAUCCCACGAGCACAGCAGAGGAGCCAAGCCUCCAAGCAGAACACCUCUCCAGUUCUGGAUGCUGUGAGAUGGAACAGGAGUCAAAGCGGUGCUGCAACCGAAAGGCCGGCGCGGCCUCUCCUUCAUCCGGGAAACAACUUCCUGCAAAAGAUGUUCUAACUUUAUCAAAGAGAAUCAG
rnacentral:lncRNA from 1 species